UACGUAGGGCGCAAGCGUUGUCCGGAAUUAUUGGGCGUAAAGAGCUCGUAGGCGGUUUGUCGCGUCUGCUGUGAAAACCCGAGGCUCAACCUCGGGCCUGCAGUGGGUACGGGCAGACUAGAGUGUGGUAGGGGAGACUGGAAUUCCUGGUGUAGCGGUGGAAUGCGCAGAUAUCAGGAGGAACACCAAUGGGCGAAGGCAGGUCUCUGGGCCACAACUG
rnacentral:rRNA from 1 species